AGAAUCAACGCUGGCGGCGUGCCUAACACAUGCAAGCCGAACGAGAAAGUGGAGCAAUCCAUGAGUAAAGUGGCGACCGGGUGAGUAACACGUGACUAACCUACCUUCGAGUGGGGGAUAACCUCGGGAAACCGAGGCUAAUACCGCAUAACGUCGCAAGAUCAAAGCAGCAAUGCGCUGGAAGAGGGGGUCGCGGCUGAUUAGCUAGUUGGCGGGUAACGCCCGCCAAGGCGAAGAUCGGUA
rnacentral:rRNA from 1 species